GAUGAACGCUGGCGGCGUGCCUAAUACAUGCAAGUCGAGCGAACGGACGAGGAGCUUGCUUUUCUGAUGUUAGCGGCGGACGUGUGAGUCACACGUGGAUAACCUACCUAUAAGACUGGGAUCACUUCGGGAAACCGGAGCUAAUCCCGGAUAAUAUUUUGAACCGCAUGGUUCAAAAGUGAAAGACGGUCUUGCUGUCACUUAUAGAUGGAUCCGCGCUGCAUUAGCUAGUUGGUAAGGUAGCGGCUUACCAAGGCAACGAUGCAUAGCCGACCUGAGAGGGUGAUCGGCCACACUGGAACUGAGACACGGUCCAGACGCCUACGGGAGGCAGCAGUAGGGAAUCUUCCGCAAUGGGCGAAAGCCUGACGGAGCAACGCCGCGUGAGUGAUGAAGGUCUUCGGAUCGUAAAACUCUGUUAUUAGGGAAGAACAUAUGUGUAAGUAACUGUGCACAUCUUGACGGUACCUAAUCAGAAAGCCACGGCUAACUACGUG
rnacentral:rRNA from 1 species